AUUGAACGCUGGCGGCAGGCCUAACACAUGCAAGUCGAGCGGAUGAAGGGAGCUUGCUCCUGGAUUCAGCGGCGGACGGGUGAGUAAUGCCUAGGAAUCUGCCUGGUAGUGGGGGAUAACGUCCGGAAACGGGCGCUAAUACCGCAUACGUCCUGCGGGAGAAAGUGGGGGAUCUUCGGACCUCACGCUCUCAGAUGAGCCUAGGUCGGAUUAGCUAGUUGGUGGGGUAAAGGCCUACCAAGGCGACGAUCCGUAACUGGUCUGAGAGGAUGAUCAGUCACACGGGAACUGAGACACGGUCCAGACUACUACGGGAGGCAGCAGUGGGGAAUAGUGGACAAUGGGCGAAAGCCUGAUCCAGCCAUGCCGCGUGUGUGAAGAAGGUCCUCGGAUUGUAAAGCACUUUAAGUUGGGAGGAAGGGCAGUAAGUUAAUACCUUGCUGUUUUGACGUUACCAACAGAAUAAGCACCGGCUAACUUCGUG
rnacentral:rRNA from 1 species